AUAGCCAAGCAAUUAUGGUGGUUUUAGUGUGUCACUAUUAUUAUAAUUUUAUAAUGGCACUGUUAUUAUAAUGGGAUUUUGAUUAACAUCAUUAUGCAUUUUUUUAAAUUUAAGACUGUUUCAUUAGGGCAGAGUCCUAGAUUUGGAAUUAUUGGAUUAAAAUGGCAUGGAUAUUUUAAAGGUUCUUGCUAUUUAUUGCCAAAUUGCUUUCCUGAAGGCUCUUGCCAGUGCAGGCUCUCGUUAGUAGAGAGGAAAGUGUUCAUCUCAGUACUUCCUCACAGCAGCAGAUAUUCUUAUAUUUUUAAUGCUUUCUAAUUUGCUAGAUAGAAAAUGGCAUCUGUUAGUUGACUUGGAAUGUGUACCCCUGAGUCCACGUCCCCGGCUUUUAUCCCAGGGCUAUGGGUGGAGGAAUGUCCAUGGGAAACGCUAUCUGAGAUUUUGUCUUGCAGCUGACUUUGGUGUGUCUGCCAAGAAUCUGAAGACUCUACAGAAACGAGAUUCCUUCAUCGGCACGCCUUACUGGAUGGCCCCCGAGGUGGUCCUGUGUGAGACCAUGAAGGACACGCCCUACGACUACAAAGCCGACAUCUGGUCCCUGGGCAUCACGCUGAUUGAGAUGGCCCAGAUCGAGCCGCCACACCACGAGCUCAACCCCAUGCGGGUCCUGCUAAAGAUCGCCAAGUCGGACCCUCCCACGCUGCUCACGCCCUCUAAGUGGUCUGUAGAGUUCCGUGACUUCCUGAAGAUAGCCCUGGAUAAGAACCCAGAAACCCGACCCAGCGCCGCGCAGCUGCUGGAGCAUCCCUUUGUCAGCGGCAUCACCAGUAACAAGGCUCUGCGGGAGCUGGUGGCUGAGGCCAAGGCCGAGGUGAUGGAAGAGAUCGAAGACGGCCGGGAUGAGGGGGAAGAGGAGGACGCCGUG
rnacentral:sRNA from 1 species